GAUGAACGCUGGCGGCGUGCCUAAUACAUGCAAGUCGAGCGAACGGACGAGAAGCUUGCUUCUCUGAUGUUAGCGGCGGACGGGUGAGUAACACGUGGAUAACCUACCUAUAAGACUGGGAUAACUUCGGGAAACCGGAGCUAAUACCGGAUAAUAUUUUGAACCGCAUGGUUCAAAAGUGAAAGACGGUCUUGCUGUCACUUAUAGAUGGAUCCGCGCUGCAUUAGCUAGUUGGUAAGGUAACGGCUUACCAAGGCAACGAUGCAUAGCCGAUCUGAGAGGGUGAUCGGCCACACUGGAACUGAGACACGGUCCAGACUCCUACGGGAGGCAGCAGUAGGGAAUCUUCCGCAAUGGGCGAAAGCCUGACGGAGCAACGCCGCGUGAGUGAUGAAGGUCUUCGGAUCGUAAAACUCUGUUAUUAGGGAAGAACAUAUGUGUAAGUAACUGCGCACAUCUUGACGGUACCUAAUCAGAAAGCCACGGCUAACUACGUG
rnacentral:rRNA from 1 species